rnacentral:rRNA from 1 species
GACAGAGGGUGCAAGCGUUGUUCGGAUUGAUUGGGUGUAAAGGGCGUGUAGGCGGUCAGGUAUGUCCGUUGUGAAAUCAUCACCGCUCAACGGGAUGUCCGCAACGGAAACUACUUGACUUGAGUAUAGAAGAGGAGAACGGAAUUCCUGGUGUAGCGGUGGAAUGUGUAGAUAUCAGGAGGAACACCGGUGGCGAAGGCGGUUCUCUGGUCUAAUACUGACGCUGAGGCGCGAAAGCUAGGGGAGCAAACGGGAUUAGAUACCCCGGUAGUCCUAGCCGUAAACGUUGGAUACUAGGUGUGGGAGGUAUCGACCCCUCCCGUGCCGCAGCUAACGCAUUAAGUAUCCCACCUGGGGAGUACGGCCGCAAGGCUGAAACUCAAAAGAAUUGACGGGGGCCCGCACAAGCGGUGGAGCAUGUGGUUCAAUUCGACGCAACGCGAAGAACCUUACCAGGGUUUGACAUGUAGGUGGUAGGAGCCUGAAAGGGCAACGAUCCGGUAGUAAUAUCGGAAGCUUACACAGGUGCUGCAUGGCUGUCGUCAGCUCGUGUCGUGAGAUGUUGGGUUAAGUCCCGCAACGAGCGCAACCCUUACUCUUAGUUGCCACCGGGUCGAAAGAUGCCGAGCACUCUAGGAGAACUGCCCCGCAUAACGGGGAGGAAGGUGGGGAUGACGUCAAGUCCUCAUGGCCUUUAUACCCUGGGCCACACAUGUGCUACAAUGGUCGGUACAACGAGUCGCCAACCCGCAAGGGGGAGCUAAUCUCUUAAAACCGGCCCCAGUUCAGAUUGAAGGCUGCAAUUCGCCUUCAUGAAGUUGGAAUCGCUAGUAAUCGCGGAUCAGCUACGCCGCGGUGAAUACGUUCCCGGGCCU